UACGAAGGGGGCUAGCGUUGCUCGGAAUCACUGGGCGUAAAGCGCACGUAGGCGGCUUUUUAAGUCAGAGGUGAAAUCCUGGAGCUCAACUCCAGAACUGCCUUCGAUACUGGAAGACUCGAGUCCGGGAGAGGUGAGUGGAACUGCGAGUGUAGAGGUGAAAUUCGUAGAUAUUCGCAAGAACACCAGUGGCGAAGGCGGCUCACUGGCCCGGUACUGACGCUGAGGUGCGAAAGCGUGGGGAGCAACAGGGAUUAAGAAACCCCAGU
rnacentral:rRNA from 1 species